rnacentral:rRNA from 1 species
CUAAUACGUGCGAAGCGACCGAAGCCGCGAGGCGACGGGCGUUCUCGCCGGAUGUAGGAACCGACCCGGGGACCGCCGGGGCAACCCGGCGCCCCCGAGACGGGGCGAACCACGGUGAAAAUGACGGAUCGUCGGCCCCGCGCCGGCGACUCGCCGAAUGAGUUUCUGACCUAUCAACUCGAGACGGCGGGGUAGAGGCCCGCCGCGGUAACGACGGGUAACGGGGAAUCAGGGUUCGAUUCCGGAGAGGGAGCCCGAGAAACGGCUACCACUUCCAAGGAAGGCAGCAGGCGCGCAACUUACCCUAAUCUCGAUUCGAGGAGGUAGUGACAAGAAAUACCGAUGCGGGACCCUACGGGUGCCGCGUUCGGAAUGAGUACGAUUCGAACCACCUAACGAGGA